AUACGAAAGGGGCAAGCGUUGUUCGGAUUUACUGGGCGUAAAGCGCUCGUAGGCGGCUUGUUAAGUCGGAUGUGAAAGCCCCGGGCUCAACCUGGGAACUGCAUUCGAUACUGGCAGGCUAGAGUAUAGUAGAGGCAAGUGGAAUUCCGGGUGUAGCGGUGAAAUGCGUAGAUAUCCGGAGGAACAUCAGUGGCGAAGGCGACUUGCUGGACUAAUACUGACGCUGAGGAGCGAAAGCGUGGGGAGCAAACGGGAUUAGAAACCCCAGUAGUCC
rnacentral:rRNA from 1 species